rnacentral:rRNA from 1 species
CACGUAGGGCGCGAGCGUUGUCCGGAAUUAUUGGCUAAAGGAGCUCGUAGGCGGCCUGUUGCGUCCGCUGUGAAAUCCCGGGGCUUAACCCGGCCUGCAGUGGAUACGGGCAGGCUGGAGGCAGGCAGGGAGAACGGAAUUCCCGGUGUGAGCGGUGAAUGCGCAGAUAUACGGGAAGGAACACCGGUGGCGAAGGCGGUUCUCUGGGCCUGUACUGACGCUGAGGAGCGAAAGCGUGGGGAGCGAACAGGAU